ACCAGACUCCUACGGGAGGCAGCAGUGGGGAAUAUUGCACAAUGGGGGGAACCCUGAUGCAGCGACGCCGCGUGGGUGAAGGAGUAUUUCGGUAUGUAAAGCCCUAUCAGCAGGGAAGAACAAUGACGGUACCUGACUAAGAAGCACCGGCUAAAUACGUGCCAGCAGCCGCGGUAAUACGUAUGGUGCAAGCGUUAUCCGGAUUUACUGGGUGUAAAGGGAGCGCAGGCGGCGCGUUAAGCCUGGUGUGAAAACCCGGGGCCCAACCCCGGGACCGCACCGGAUACUGCCGGACUCGAGUGCCGGAGGGGCAGGCGGAAUUCCUGGUGUAGCGGUGAAAUGCGUAGAUAUCAGGAGGAACACCGGCGGCGAAGGCGGCCUGCUGGACCGUGACUGACGUUGAGGCUCGAGAGCGUGGGGAGCAAACAGGAUUAGAUACCCUUGUA
rnacentral:rRNA from 1 species